rnacentral:rRNA from 1 species
GACGAACGCUGGCGGCGUGCUUAACACAUGCAAGUCGAACGGAAAGGCCCUGCUUUUGUGGGGUGCUCGAGUGGCGAACGGGUGAGUAACACGUGAGUAACCUGCCCUUGACUUUGGGAUAACUUCAGGAAACUGGGGCUAAUACCGGAUAGGAGCUCCUGCUGCAUGGUGGGGGUUGGAAAGUUUCGGCGGUUGGGGAUGGACUCGCGGCUUAUCAGCUUGUUGGUGGGGUAGUGGCUUACCAAGGCUUUGACGGGUAGCCGGCCUGAGAGGGUGACCGGCCACAUUGGGACUGAGAUACGGCCCAGACUCCUACGGGAGGCAGCGGUGGGGAAUAUUGCACAAUGGGCGGAAGCCUGAUGCAGCAACGCCGCGUGCGGGAUGACGGCCUUCGGGUUGUAAACCGCUUCCGCCUGUGACGAAGCGUGAGUGACGGUAAUGGGUAAAGAAGCACCGGCUAACUACGUG